UACAGAGGUCUCAAGCGUUGUUCGGAUUCAUUGGGCGUAAAGGGCGCGUAGGCGGGCGGGCAAGUCUGCGGUGAAAGCCUCCAGCUCAACUGGAGAAGUGCCGUGGAUACUGCUCAUCUUGAGGAGGGUAGGGGCGUCUGGAACGUUGGGUGGAGCGGUGAAAUGCGUUGAUAUCCAACGGAACUCCGGCGGCGAAGGCGAGGCGCUGGACCCUUUCUGACGCUGAUGCGCGAAAGCCAGGGGAGCGAACGGG
rnacentral:rRNA from 1 species